rnacentral:rRNA from 1 species
CCUACGGGAGGCAGCAGUGGGGCAUAUUGCACAAUGGGGGAAACCCUGAUGCAGCGACGCCGCGUGCGUGAAGAAGUAAUUCGUUAUGUAAAGCUCUAUCAGCAGGGAAGAAACUGACGGUACCUGAGUAAGAAGCCCCGGCUAACUACGUGCCAGCAGCCGCGGUAAUACGUAGGGGGCAAGCGUUAUCCGGAUUUACUGGGUGGAAAGGGAGCGUAGACGGCAGUGCAAGUCUGGAGUGAAAGGCGGGGGCUCAACCCCCGGACUGCUCUGGAAACUGUACGGCUGGAGUGCAGGAGAGGUAAGUGGAAUUCCUAGUGUAGCGGUGAAAUGCGUAGAUAUUAGGAGGAACACCAGUGGCGAAGGCGGCUUACUGGACUGUAACUGACGUUGAGGCUCGAAAGCGUGGGGAGCAAACAGGAGUAGAUACCCUAGUAGUC